GGGAAAACGUUUGGAUUUUUAUUUCAUAAUAAAAAAGUUACAUGUGGUGCCCUUAUAUAGAGAUUUACAUGUGUGUGUGCUGAAUUUAAAAAAGUAAAACAAUUAUUAAUAAAAAUUGCAAUUUACCACAUAGUACUAUUAUCAAACCUGGAUGGCAGACGGGUCUCUCUGAUAGGUCGUCUUUCCCUUACUUCUUCCUCGCCGUCUUCCUCCUCGCUAAGACCUUUAGCUGCUGGACCUUUAGUUAUUUCUUCAUGGAUUGCCAGUUCAUCUUCAGACGAUGACGCUAUCGAGCUUGCAAUAGCUUCCUGAUUCUUCAAGGCUUGAUUGAAGGACUCUUCGAUAGCAUUGGAAUCGAAUUUAAGUGCUUCAAUAACUUGCCUUUCCUCCCGUUAUCAAUCUUCCUUGUCUUUAUCUUCUCCCGUGCCAUGAUCAACCCCAACAAACUCCACCUACGGCUGCCACUACCGAUAUCACUAGUAUGGCAAGAACAUCUGGCAAAAAAAGGUACCAAAAUGAUGAGUAAAGAAAUGAAAGGUUGGAAAAAAAAUGAAUUCUUUAUCUUCUGCUACCACCUACCACGUACCACCACUACCUACCGCUAUCACCUCCACUACCUACUGGAAAAAAUGAAAGAUCUACCUACCGCUAUCCCCUCCAUCUUUAUCUUCUUUCUUUCUUGCCUGAAAAAAAUGAAAGGUCGGAAGGGGGGGAAGUGAUGAGUGAAGAAGAGGAGAUAGAUUCAAAUCAUUAUAUGGCAAAAGUUCACAUCAAAUAUACAGUAGCAGUUCUUCUAUCUCCUCCAAUCCCCCCCCCACGAUCUACAGUGUUUGUACUACCAACUCCAACUGUGCGUGCAAUAAAAAUAGCAAUAUUAAAAGAUGAAAAAGAAAAACACUGUUUUCUCCGAUGAUUGGCCGGUGAGAGAUAUUCUGGGAGAUGAUUGGGUAAGUUAGGUUUUAACCUUAACGAGUUGAACCCGAGCCUAAGCCGAGCUAAACUUGACACCCUACUUAGAGAUCGUGGAUACUAGUUGAGGUGGCUACCCUAGGUUUACC
rnacentral:lncRNA from 1 species